AUAUAUCAUUUCCCGACUAUUCUCUCUGUUUCUUUGCGAAGGCGAUGGCGAUGCCUUUUCUCCGACGAUUGAGGUUACGAUUAAGGCCGCCGGCGACGAUUGAGGGAAGAUGGAGAGGCCGUAGGUGGAUUAAUUAAGGAGAACGUAAUGCCAACUCUUACCAUGACUUUGCAACCUAUUACUUUCCUUAUGGUAGAACUUAUGUUAAUUUCAAACUUUGAAGACAGUAAAUGCUGGUGGGCAGCCAAAAUCUGAAUCAUAUGACUUAAAGAAAUUCCAUGUUGGAGAUAUGAUUAUUGGGAGAAUCAAACGUGUGGAGCCCUAUGGCUUAUUCAUUGACAUUGAUCAAACUGGCAUGGUAAUGAUCUAGUUUCAUGCUGCAAGGUGAAAAAGAAGACUAUAGCUGCAAGACGGAGUCAAGUGAAAAUGAUUAUACUCCCGGAGGCUAACCGGAAAGAUUUUGAUGAGCUGGCGGAAAACGUGAAAGAAGUGCUUGAUGGAAACAAGAGGGAUUGUCAUUUUGGGUCUCACACAUAAAAACUAUAGAAAGUAAAGCAAUAGUGUAGUAUGUGUGUGCUUUGUCUAAUCAAAGACUGAUCAAUGAUAUGUCUGUUCAAUUUUACACAUUGAAGAUGGAGAAGUAGCAGCACACACCAAGAAUCAUUUGACAUGGCAACAUGGUCCUUUGUGGUACUCACUGCUUCUCCUCAACUUCACGGCCAUUAUCACUAUUCUCUUUGGUACCUUUGUGGUACUCACUGCUUCUGCUAAGUCUUCUUCCUUCCUCCUCCAAUGAUGAUACUGUUGACUACAGCUAUUCUGCUAUAUAAAACACUUUCUACAUUCCACUUGCAUUUGUAUUGCCCCUUGUACUGUCAACACUCCAUUUAUAUGUGAUGCAUUUGUAGCGAAAAACUUUGUGUUUUACGAGUUUGCUACUUCUGGUGUGUAAAAUAUUUGAUAUUAGUGAUGAAUUUUUCUUUAUUUUCU